GAAAUCAGUUCAGCACUAAGUCACUUUGUCUAUAUGGCAAAUGUGAGAUGCAGUGUAUGGAACAUCAAUAUUCUAGUAUGAGAAAUUAACGAUUUAAGUCCUUCUUAAAUGAGGCCAUUUACCCAUAGAGGGUGCCAGGCCCGUAUAACGUUAAUGAUUACUAGAUGGUGUUUCCAAAGAGUCGUGUUGCUUGAUAGUGCAGCACUAAGUGGGUGGUAAACUCCAUCUAAAACUAAAUAUAACCAUGAGACCGAUAGUAAACAAGUACCGUGAGGGAAAGUUGAAAAGAACUCUGAAUAGAGAGUUAAAUAGUACGUGAAACUGCUUAGAGGUUAAGCCCGAUGAACCUGAAUAUCCGUUAUGGAAAAUUCAUCAUUAGAAUUGUAAUAUAUAAUCUAUAUUAUAAUAAUAGUGUGCAUUUUUUCCAUAUAAGGACAUUGUAAUCUAUUAGUAUCAAUAAAUUUAUCAAAAAAUUGUAGAUAAUUGCUUAUUUGAAUUAGAAUGCUUGCAUUUUAACAUAAAAUAAAUGUCAUAAAUUUGAUAAAGUGCUGAUAGAUUUAUAUGAGUACAGUGCGUUAAUUUCUCGGAAUUAUAUAAUGGCAUAAUUAUCAUUGAUUUUUGUGUUUAUUAUAAGCAUUUGUAUGAUUAACAAUGCGAAAGA
rnacentral:rRNA from 1 species